UUCUAAUGUCGGGCUCGAUUCGCUUCCCUGCAUUUGGAGAACUUAACCGAUGAGUGGCAAGAAUUUAUCCAUUAUACUCCCGAAGUAAGUUAUCAUGGACCCUUGAUUUUAAUCAAUUGAACUAUGUUCAAGUUGUGAGAUGAAAUUAAAAAUGAUGGUAGAGUGAUUUACUAUUUACUACGAUGAAAUUCCUUAAUUUUUCAAAAUAUAAAAUCCGAAAAUCUUAUCAAAAUACACACCUAAGUUCCAUUUUGUGGUGGUAUAAUUUCGUAGUAUAUAUUCUUGUUAGUUCAUUAGUUUUUUUUUUCUGUAAUAUAUAUAUAUAUAACACUCUCCAUUCACUUCAACCUAGAAAUAAAAACUAUAUUAUAUAUACAAUACAAUACAUUAGGGUUUAAAACCUUCAUAUAUAUAUAUAUAUAUAUAUAAAUACGGCCCACACACAUGUUAUAAUUAAGAACAAAUUAACAAAUGACUUAUGAGGUUAAUUACCUUAUUUGACAAGCUCAGUGCGAGUUUUUCUUUAUCUCCAUAGAUUUCUCCAUCAAAUUGAUCUCUUUUCUGCUUCAUAGAAACAAAAACAACAAUAUUAAUAAUAAUAAAUUAAACCAUAUCCAAAAUUCACCACGAAAAACAGAGAGAAGAAAUAGCCAAAUAAAAACUUAAACUUACUGAAGAAUGAUGAGCUACUUCAUCCAUAGUUGAAUUAGCAUAAGAAGAAUUAGGAUCCACAUUAAGGUCCAAAAAAAUAUCCAUCAUAUGAAAUUAAAUUAGUAAUUUCAGAUAUAUUUUUAAAAACUAUUAUUAUUGUUGUUGCAUGUAAAGAAGAAUUAGAAGAAAAUUUGAGGGUAUUUUUGUGAAGAAGAAGAAGAGGAAGAAGAAGAAGAAGAAGGGAAGAAGAAUUAUUUUGCAGAAAAAUGAGUGAUAAUGGGAAGAAGACUUAUAUAUAAAGAAAGAAAGAAAAGAAAAGAAAAGAAGAAGAAGAAGAAGAAGACGAAGAAGAAGAAGAAUUUGCAAAAAAGGGCCUGUGGGGUUGGGUGGGUCCCACAAUUCUGGAAGAAGUCGGUUUUGGAAUUCUUUUCUUAGUCCACCCCUUUAAUUUUCAUUAUUUACAUCACACUUCCUUUCUUUUUCUUUUCUUUUCCCUUUUUUUUUAUAAAUAAAACUUUGUUUUGUGGUAAUAUUGACUUUGAAAGUAGAGUGGAAUGGUUGACUUGAGUGUGUAAGGGUCCCACACGCUUUUGAAAAUGAAAUGACUUUUUUGCUCUC
rnacentral:lncRNA from 1 species